rnacentral:siRNA from 1 species
GGUGCUCUAUUCGAAUGAGUGGA